rnacentral:rRNA from 1 species
CUACGGGUGGCACCAGUGGGGAAUAUUGCACAAUGGGCGCAAGCCUGAUGCAGCCAUGCCGCGUGUAUGAAGAAGGCCUUCGGGUUGUAAAGUACUUUCAGCGGGGAGGAAGGGAGUAAAGUUAAUACCUUUGCUCAUUGACGUUACCCGCAGAAGAAGCACCGGCUAACUCCGUGCCAGCAGCCGCGGUAAUACGGAGGGUGCAAGCGUUAAUCAGAAUUACUGGGCGUAAAGCGCACGCAGGCGGUUUGUUAAGUCAGAUGUGAAAUACCCGGGCUCAACCUGGGAACUGCAUCUGAUACUGGCAAGCUUGAGUCUCGUAGAGGGGGGUAGAAUUCCAGGUGUAGCGGUGAAAUGCGUAGAGAUCUGGAGGAAUACCGGUGGCGAAGGCGGCCCCCUGGACGAAGACUGACGCUCAGGUGCGAAAGCGUGGGGAGCAAACAGGAUUAGAUACCCUAGUAGUC